AUUGAACGCUGGCGGCAGGCCUAACACAUGCAAGUCGAACGAGUGGCGGACGGGUGAGUAAUGUCUGGGAAACUGCCCGAUGGAGGGGGAUAACUACUGGAAACGGUAGCUAAUACCGCAUACCAUCGGAUGUGCCCAUAUGGGGUUAGCUAGUAGGUGGGGUAACGGCGCACCUAGGCGACGAUCCCUAGCUGGUCUGAGAGGAUGACCAGCCACCCUGGAACGGAGACACGGUCCAGACUCCUACGGGAGGAAGCAGUGGGGAAUAUUGCACAAUGGGCGCAAGCCUGAUGCAGCCAUGCCGCGUGUAUGAAGAAGGCCUUCGGGUUGUAAAGUACUUUCAGCGGGGAGGCGUUACCCGCAGAAGAAGCACCGGCUAACUCCGUGCCAGCAGCCGCGGUAAUUC
rnacentral:rRNA from 1 species